rnacentral:rRNA from 1 species
UACGAGAGGCCCAAACGUUAUUCGGAUUUACUGGGCUUAAAGAGUUCGUAGGCGGCUUGGAAAGUGGGGUGUGAAAGCCCUCGGCUCAACCGAGGAAUUGCGCUCCAAACUGCCGAGCUUGAGGAAGCUAGAGGUGAGCAGAACUGAUGGUGGAGCGGUGAAAUGCGUUGAUAUCAGGAAGAACACCCGUGGCGAAAGCGGCUCUCUGGAACGGUACUGACGCUGAGACGCGAAAGCGUGGGGAGCGAACAGG